UACGUAGGGUGCAAGCGUUGUCCGGAAUUAUUGGGCGUAAAGAGCUCGUAGGCGGUCUGUCACGUCGGACGUGAAAAUCCAGGGCUCAACCCUGGACCUGCGUUCGAUACGGGCAGACUAGAGUUCGGUAGGGGAGACUGGAAUUCCUGAUGUAGCGGUGAAAUGCGCAGAUAUCAGGAGGAACACCGGUGGCGAAGGCGGGUCUCUGGGCCGAAACUGACGCUGAGGAGCGAAAGCGUGGGGAGCGAACAGG
rnacentral:rRNA from 1 species